UGAGGCCAAUACCCCUUCCUCUACUUCAUAUAGGCUUUCUUUUUUUACUCUAUACUGUAAUCCUGAAUGCUUUCAUGCAUCUCAUGGCUUUCAUUAUCAUUUCUACUUUGAUAAGUCCCAAAAUGAUAUCUUCUGUUUAUAUUCAACUUUAGAAUGCCAGACCUGUCAUCUCUAGCUGCCUAUCUCAGAGGCACCUUAAAUUCAACCUGUUCAAAGAUCAUCUUGUGCCUUAACCCAGAUUCACUGCUUCUCCAAUGUUCCCUGUUCCAGUUUAUAGCAACACCAUCCUCAGUUUCUCAUUCCAAAAGCCCAGGAGUAAUGUAAGGAAGGAUACGUCUAUUGAGAAAUUGCACGCCAAGUAAAAUCCUGAGAUAAACAACUUCAUACAAGAGAAACUGACAGUUUACCAUACAUUUUUGGAAUUUAAAGAGUUGUUGUGGUGUGCUUUCUUUUUGUGCAAAUUAUGGAAUAGAUGAAAGUGACAGAGUGAUGACACCACCUAAAUGGAAGCAUAAUGUAGACGGUUAUUGCAGAUGCCUUACCACACAGCUCUGCCAGCGCACAUGCUUCCUGCAAACCUCCUGCAAUUUAAACCCUUGGGCUCCUUCAACUAAUGACGCUAAUUUGCCAAUGGAGCAAUGGCUUUCUUCGCUAAACACUCACCUACAAAGGAGUAUGUAUUAGCCGACAAUGUAUGUGCUCAGUAAAAACUGGCAAUAUAACAUGCACAUUUUAAAUAUAAAGACCACUUUCAUCACUACAUUAAAUCAUAGGGAUUGAUUUAAUAAAUCACAGUGUAAAUAA
rnacentral:lncRNA from 1 species